UCUGCCUGUUACAUACUUUCCGACGAAUCUAGUAUACCCUUUUACUCUACGAGUAACGGGUAUAAAUACGAGAUGAGUUAGCAGAAUGACAAGUAAAAAGUUUUUUUUGUUGGAUGGUGUUGUGUAUCACGAAGAUACGAGCCAGAAUAAGACUUUGUAUGUUCCAUCAAGUAUUCGAGAUGAUUUAAUUAAGUUGUCCCAUGAAAAACUAGGUCAUUUAGGUGCAGAUAAGUGCUACAAUAAUAUGAAGUCUAAGUGUUGGUUUCCCUUAAUGAGAACGAAAAUAGAUGAGUUAAUUCGAAAUUUUUUGAAGUCAGUUAACAAUAGAAUUUUACACAGUAUACCCAAAGUGCUGAUUCCAUUUGAUACGAUUCACAUAGAUUAUUUAGGGCCCUGGCCGUGUAUAAAUUCAAAAAGGAAACUUUCAUUGGUAGUAAUUGACUCAUUUACAAAGUUUGUGAAGUUAUUCUCUGUAAAUUCUACAAGUACACGUGAAGUAAUUGCGAGUUUAAGUAAAUAUUUCGAAUUUUGUAGUAGGCCACGCAGAAUUAUUUCUGAUAGAGGUAGUUCCUCUACUUCAUUAAAGUUUAGUGAAUAUAAGAGUGGCGACAUGUGCUCCCCAAUCAAACGGACAGGUUGAGAGAGUAAAUCGAGUGCUGACACCGAUGUUAGGAAAAUUGUCUAUUCUAAUUAAUCAAGCUGAUUGGUAUAAACUUAUAAAUAAGGUUGAACACUCGUUCAACAAUUCAGUACAUUCUAGUACAUUAAAAACACCAAGCAUGAUCCUCUUUGGAGUAGAUCAAAAAGGUCCGAUAGUUGAUGAAUUAUAUGAGUAUUUAGAUAAUAAAUUAAAUAAAGAUAAAAACAUAGAUUUAAAAGAUAUAAAGGAUAAAGCAAAUUUAAAGAUUGUAGAGUCUCAGAAAAGAAAUGAAAUUAUUAAAGCAGCUAAACAGGAAGCGCCAUCGGAAUAAAGCGUUGGAGAUUUUGUGGCAAUAAUAAAUAUAGACGUAACACCUGACACUUGUAAAAAAUUUGCGCCUAAAUAUAGAGGACCAUAUAAAAUAAAUAGAGUUUUGACAACGAUAGGUAUGAAGUAACAGAUAUUGAUAACUGUCAAUUUACUCAGUUACCUUAUAAAGAGAUUCUAGAAGCUGCGAGGCUAAAACCAUGGCUACAAAUAUUAAAGAAGACUGUAGCUUAUGUACAUAAUUUUGAGCGAGGUCGAUCAAUAUGUCAGGUUGACCGAGUUGUAAACAUAUGUGAAUAUAUACUAAAUAGUAUUAAGUGUGUACAUAAUGUUAUGGAUUGUAUUUUAGUGUGUACUUUCUGUUGUAAACUUAUGUGAAUAUAUACUAAUGUAAACAUUUGUGAAUAUAUACUAAAUAGUAUUAAGUGUGAACAUAAUGUUCUAUAUUGCUUUGUAUUUUACUAUGUACUUUCUAUAAUGUAACUUUGUAUUAAGCACCGAUAAGAUAACAGGUAUCGAUUACAUAGUGAACUCGAUUGUCGAGACAAAUUGGCCACUUGUAAUUGAAGAAGAAGAGAGAGCACGAGGAAAAUACAAAAAAGAAUACGAAAUUAAAUCAUUAAAUUAAAAAGCAUCAUUUACAAGAACCUAAAAAUUGAAACUAAAUACAAUUAUACAAAAUUUUGAAUAUAAGGAAAUAAAACUCUUAAGGUUAUAAAUCAGAAAUGUGGUUCCCCACAGCGCGGUAACCAAGCUUUCUGAGGUCGAAUCUCUUUAUUGGGAAAGGCAUCAGGUUCGAGGCUGAUGCAAAUAUGGCCCAACAAGGCCAUUUUGGUAAGGCAGACGUCGUCAGGUUUAUUGUCGAUAAAUUGGGCGAUCUGCGUCGGAAGUUGGGGCGAUUCCAGUCUGUGCGCCAGGAGUGCAGCCGUGUGACUGCCACCAUGGCUCCUCGCGCAGGGCCACAUCCUUAAAGCAUAUUAGAUGCCGUAACUGCCAAAAGGGACACACACCCAGAGACUGCAAGAAGCGGAAGAGACCGGAAAAAUUGAUGCUUCAUCUGCUUCGAAGUGGGCCACACACCGCUUGUGCCCCAAACGCACAGUAAAACAGCGGUGGAUAAGUCGUUUAUUCAGUUAAUACCGGAAGCCCAAUAAGCUUUUUUGUUUUGUUUAAAAACAAAUAUUACAAACUGGAGGCUUAUGUUAUUCCUGAUCUUAUCAUGCCUAUACCGCUCCUACUUGGUAGAGAUGCAUUUGAAUUACUUAAUAUUAAACAAGUAUCGAAAAGAAAUCCUGAUGAGUUGUAAAGACUUCAACUUACUUCAUGAUUUUUUAAUAAUAAUUAUGUUAAUUCUUAUCGAUAUUUUUACGCUCAUUUUUUACUGAUCAUGGUGCAAGAAUUUUUGCAUCUGGUUAGUCAUCAUGGGUGAACGGGUGUUUCUGACGAUUAGGAGAAACUGGACAGCUGUUUUCUGGCGACUCUGAGAAGCAGCGGACAACAGCAGUUUUUAACAGCGAAUGUUAGAAUUCUGCUGCCAAUGUUAGCAGCGCAACAAUACGAAGAAGACAUCUCCGUAUGUCACGUUUUUAUAACCGAGCUUUCAUAUUCCCUAAUUUGUAAAACUAAAAGAGCAAUAAGUCAAAGAUUGAAAGUAUACAACUGAAUACAACUGGUGAAGUUCAACAUAUUUCUGUGCUUUUAUUACAAGGUGUGUGAAAGACCCCCAGAGUAGACUUCGGGUGCAAAUCGUCAAAACAUUUUGGGGAACAACAUGAGGGGAACAUACACUCAUAACUUCAUCAGCUUCCAAUAUUUGUAAACUUACUUCAAUCUUUGGGAUUACUUGUUUGC